rnacentral:ncRNA from 1 species
CUCCUGGAAAAACCAAUAUCCAGCCAAUGCUUGUGUCAGAGAUUAAGUCGUGCAUGUCUAAGUACAUACCUUAAAACGGUGAAACAGCAAAUCGCUGAUUAAAUCAGCUAUGGUUGCUUAGACCACAUAUGCACUACAUGGAUAACUGUAGUAAUUCUAGAGCUAAUAAAUGAAGUUAUGCCCUGACCCGCAAAUCAACAGAAAAUUUAUUAAUACAGAACCAACCGCGGGUGGGGGGGGUAGUUUCGCCUGGAUAGCUUUAAUGUGAUCGCGAUCGGCCUUCCAUUGGCGAUGGAUCUUAUCGUAGAAGGAAACAACACAGAGAUUCUGUUUCACCGAUCAAUUUAGAAGGUUAAACAACAUUGGAAUAAACACAGGAGUCAGACAAUGGUGCUUAUUAUCACCAAUUAUACUUCAUUCACUUACUUAUCUAGGGAGCAUUGUCUCAACUACAGGAAGUCGGAGAGGACGAGGAUGUCAAAUCGAGCUAGAAUCGGGAAGGCAGGCGAGAAACAUAUUCAUCAACCUGAAACAACCAAUCUGGAAAUAUUCGUCACUCAGCCAGAAUCAACAACAAAAU